CUAGUUGGUAGGGUAGUGGCCUACCAAGGUGGUAACGGGUAACGGGGAAUCAGGGUUUGAUUCCGGAGAGGGAGCCUUAGAAACGGCUACCACGUCCAAGGAAGGCAGCAGGCGCGCAAAUUACCCACUCUAGACACUGGGAGGUAGUGACGAGAAAUAACAGGGGCACCCUACAAGGGGGCCGUCUGUAAUGAACGAAACACAAAAGCAACGGUGAGGACCUACUGGAGGGCAAGUCUGGUGCCAGCAGCCGCGGUAAUUCCAGCUCCAGUAGUGUAUAUCAACAUUGUUGCGCUUAAAACGCUCGUAGUUGGGUUGGAGUGUUGUAGUGUACCCUGGUAAGAAGGGGUGCAUGUAACACUAGCUAACAUGUACCCUUGGAGUGGGCUGUUAGUUGGUGAAGAACACUUUUUGUAUCGGGCACCUUGUUGGUUUUGAGUAAGCAACAUGGUGAAACCUGGUGCAGUGUGCCUUGAGUAAAGCAUAAUGUCAAUAGUAAGCAAGGGAGCUUGUGUGUAAUAGCAUGGAACGAAAAGAUGACCAAAAACAAAGGAGGGUUCCUUGUGUUCGCCAUCCUAGCGAUGGGGUCUAGCUGUCCAAGAGGAAAGUUUGCGGGCACUGGUACUUUGGGGCGAGAGGUGAAAUUCUUAGACCCCCAAAAGACGGACUACUGCGAAGGCAUUUGCCAAAGAUGUUUCCGUUGAUCAAGAACGAAGGUCAGAGGAUCGAAGACGAUCAGAUACCGUCCUAGUUUUGACAGAAAACUCUGCCGGCGUAGGUGGGCAGCGGCUGGUCACUUGACAGGAGCCACUGCGGACCUAGGGGGAAACCUGAGCUUUCGGGCUGCUGGGAGAAUAUUGCUGCAAGGCUGAAAUUUAAAGAAAUUGACGGAGAGGCACCACCAGGAGUGGAGCUUGCGGCUUAAUUUGACUCAACACGGGGAAACUCACCGGGUCCAGACAUUGGAAGGAUUGACAGAGUGGUGGAUCUUUCAUGAUUCAGUGAAUGGUGGUGCAUGGCCGUUCUUAGUUGGUGGAGUGAUCUGUCAGGUUUAUUCCGGUAACGAGCGAGACCGUGGUCUCCGUUUGGUUUUUUGAUUUGGAGGCGUCCUCCCGUAGGGUGCUGGGUUGAAAACAACGGAGAGACUAUCGGUGCCAAGCCGGCGGAAGCGCGGCAAUAACAGGUCUGUGAUGCCCUGCGAUGUCCUGGGCUGCACGCGAGCUACAAUGGGGGAGAAAGAAGGUAGCUGGCCCGAGGGGGUUGGCGGAGCGUGAAUCUCCCCCGCGAUGGGGACUGAGCCUUGCAAUUAUUGCUCACGAAAGAGGAAUUCCUCGUAGACACAGGUCAUGAGCCUGUGUCGAAUACGUCUCUGCCUCUUGUAC
rnacentral:rRNA from 1 species